rnacentral:rRNA from 1 species
CCUACGGGAGGCAGCAGUGGGGAAUUUUGGACAAUGGGCGAAAGCCUGAUCCAGCAAUGCCGCGUGUGGGAAGAAGGCCUUCGGGUUGUAAACCACUUUUGUACGGAACGAAACGGUCUUUUUUAAUAAAGAGGGCUAAUGACGGUACCGUAAGAAUAAGCACCGGCUAACUACGUGCCAGCAGCCGCGGUAAUACGUAGGGUGCGAGCGUUAAUCGGAAUUACUGGGCGUAAAGCGUGCGCAGGCGGUUAUAUAAGACAGUUGUGAAAUCCCCGGGCUCAACCUGGGAAUUGCAUCUGUGACUGUAUAGCUAGAGUACGGUAGAGGGGGAUGGAAUUCCGCGUGUAGCAGUGAAAUGCGUAGAUAUGCGGAGGAACACCGAUGGCGAAGGCAAUCCCCUGGACCUGUACUGACGCUCAUGCACGAAAGCGUGGGGAGCAAACAGGAUUAGAUACCCUGGUAGUCCACGCCCUAAACGAUGUCAACUGGUUGUUGGGUGCAUUAGUACUCAGUAACGAAGCUAACGCGUGAAGUUGACCGCCUGGGGAGGUAGCGCGAGUAGUAAGUACGUAAUUAGAGUAGUUAGCGUGNGAGNGCGACGACGACGACGAGGAGGAGGAG